AGUGCUCAGUCACCCUCACAGUGGAAGAGCAGUGCCUACCAUCUAGAGGGAAGCUCCUGUGUUUCAGCUCAUGUCCAUUGGCUCUGGUCACCAAGGAAGAGAGCCUGGCUCCAUUCUCUUUACAACGUUUCAGAUGUUUGCAGCAGCUGGGAGGCAGCAUUGCUAGGACAAGGAGGUUAUUCUAUACCACCACACCUCACUGCCCAGGGUGGAAAAAGGUGGAUUCUGAGGAGAAAGGGUUUCUUCCUGAUGAGCAAGCCUGACACUGAGCUAAAAAUUGUUUCUAGGAGAAUGCACUCAGCGUGACUGUUUACGUGCUAACUCCUGAGAAGGUUAAAAGAAAAAGAGGAAAAAAAGCUCUUAAACAAGACCUGAAAGGUUCUGAAAGCAGCAAACCUUGCAAAUAAAGAGCCCAGUAAGAAAGUCGGAGAUCUGUACCUUGCCCAUCUCUCCAAAAACAUUUUAAAAAAUGAGAGAAGGCGGAUUGGCAGAAAGACAUUCUAAAGGAUGCUCUGUCAGGCAUACUCACUCACCCAGGUUCUCGUUUUUCUUGUCUUGAACAUAAUUCCAACCUCCAACAUGCCAAUUUAUUCUAAUACAGAAUUUAUAGCAUUAAGGUCCCAACCUGUGUCCUUCAUAGCUUUUCAUUUACUUUAAGUAAGAAAAUGUGCUGAAAAAAUAGAAUACUUCUUUACACUCUAAUCUAGAACAUAUUUAGUUUAACCUUCUUUCAGCCCUUUACCAACAAAAUGCUUUCACUGCAGCCAAAUUUGAAAGACAAGUUGAUGAAAGCUCCUAAGUCAGAUUUAGCAGGGGUGGAAAAACAGAUGUUCAGGGAUUUUUUAAUGCAAACUUCAGUUCUGACAGAAGGCACAGUAGUUGUGAAUGGGCCUCCAAAGCUAGUCUUCAAACUGGUUAUAAGCACUUAGGGUAGUUAAUACACAGUAAGCUUUGACCAAAAAUAACUGAGUCACUUUCCCACCAUCUUAAGUCACCCCAUGUUCCAAGCAGACACUUCCAAUCUGCUGACUGCCCCAGACUAAAGCAGAUUAUCUACAGGGUUUGUCAGAGAAAGGGAAGUAACAAUAAAAAUUCACGUUUUUACUUCCUAUGAACCACUAAAGACACUGUUUUCACAGGAGAGAUUGACACUCAAUAAAGAGUUUGCAGCUCAAAAAUGCCUGCCUAGAAUGCCAAGUUUCUCUUACAUAGCUCUCCUUUCCCUCAGCUUCACAUCAUGACUCAGAUGAUGCUCUAAAUGAAUUGGAAGCAUAAUUUCACAGUGCAUCAAAAUUAUGAAGUCCAGGCACAUCUAUUCACAUCUUUAAAAUUCAUAGAUCCAAGUAUAGUAACAGAUUUUCAGGACAUCUAAUUUCUCAAAAUCCAGUCUAUUUUUAUAGCUGCAAAAGAAGCUGUAAAAGAAC